rnacentral:rRNA from 1 species
AACGAACGCUGGCGGCAGGCUUAACACAUGCAAGUCGAACGCAUCCUUCGGGGUGAGUGGCGGACGGGUGAGUAACGCGUGGGAACGUGCCCUUCAGUUCGGGAUAACCCAGGGAAACUUGGGCUAAUACCGGAUACGCGCGAGAGCAGAAAGAUUUAUCGCUGAAGGAUCGGCCCGCGUCUGAUUAGCUAGUUGGUGGGGUAAUGGCCCACCAAGGCGACGAUCAGUAGCUGGUCUGAGAGGACGAUCAGCCACACUGGGACUGAGACACGGCCCAGACUCCUACGGGAGGCAGCAGUGGGGAAUUUUGGACAAUGGGGGCGACCCUGAUCCAGCCAUGCCGCGUGAGUGAUGAAGGCCUUAGGGUUGUAAAGCUCUUUCAGUGGGGACGAUAAUGACGGUACCCGCAGAAGAAGCCCCGGCUAACUUCGUGCCAGCCGCCGCGGUAA